rnacentral:rRNA from 1 species
AUUGAACGCUGGCGGCAUGCCUUACACAUGCAAGUCGAACGGCAGCACGGGAGCAAUCCUGGUGGCGAGUGGCGAACGGGUGAGUAAUAUAUCGGAACGUGCCCAGUCGUGGGGAUAACGUAGCGAAAGCUACGCUAAUACCGCAUACGAUCUAUGGAUGAAAGCGGGGGAUCGCAAGACCUCGCGCGAUUGGAGCGGCCGAUAUCAGAUUAGGUAGUUGGUGAGGUAAAGGCUCACCAAGCCGACGAUCUGUAGCUGGUCUGAGAGGACGACCAGCCACACUGGGACUGAGACACGGCCUAGACUCCUACGGGAGGCAGCAGUGGGGAAUUUUGGACAAUGGGCGCAAGCCUGAUCCAGCAAUGCCGCGUGCAGGAUGAAGGCCUUC